CAUAUCAAUAAGCGGAGGAAAAGAAACUAACAAGGAUUCCCCUAGUAACUGCGAGUGAAGCGGGAAAAGCUCAAAUUUAAAAUCUGGCGGCCUCUGGUCGUCCGAGUUGUAAUUUAGAGAAGCGUCUUCCGCGCUGGACCGUGCACAAGUCUCCUGGAAUGGAGCGUCAUAGAGGGUGAGAAUCCCGUCUUUGGCACGGAUGCACCAGGGCUUUCGUGAUGCGCUCUCGAAGAGUCGAGUUGUUUGGGAAUGCAGCUCAAAAUGGGUGGUGAACUCCAUCUAAAGCUAAAUAUUGGCGAGAGACCGAUAGCGAACAAGUACCGUGAGGGAAAGAUGAAAAGCACUUUGGAAAGAGAGUGAAACAGUACGUGAAAUUGUUGAAAGGGAAACGCUUGAAGUCAGUCGCGUCGACCGAGACUCAGCCUUGCCUCGGCUCGGUGUACUUCUCGGCCGACGGGUCAGCAUCAAUUUUGCCCCUCGGAUAAUGGCGAGAGAAAGGUGGCACCCUCACGGGUGUGUUAUAGUCUCCCGUCGGAUGCGAGGGUCGGGAUUGAGGAACUCGGCACGUACCGUGCUUAGGAUGUUGGCAUAAUGGCUUUAAACGACCCGUCUUGAAACACGGACCAAGGAGUCUAACAUGCCCGCGAGUGUUCGGGUGGAAAACCCGUGCGCGUAAUGAAAGUAAAAGUUGGGACCCCUGUCGUGGGGGGCACCGACGCCCGGACCAGACCUUCUGUGACGGAUCUGCGGUAGAGCGUGCAUGUUGGGACCCGAAAGAUGGUGAACUAUGCCUGAAUAGGGUGAAGCCAGAGGAAACUCUGGUGGAGGCUCGUAGCGAUUCUGACGUGCAAAUCGAUCGUCAAAUUUGGGUAUAGGGGCGAAAGACUAAUCGAACCAUCUAGUAGCUGGUUCCUGC
rnacentral:rRNA from 1 species